AUUGAACGCUGGCGGCAGGCCUAACACAUGCAAGUCGAACGAGUGGCGGACGGGUGAGUAAUGUCUGGGAAACUGCCCGAUGGCGGGGGAUAACUACUGGAAACGGUAGCUAAUACCGCAUACCAUCGGAUGUGCCCAGAUGGGAUUAGCUAGUAGGGGGGGUAACGGCUCACCGAGGCGCCGAUCCCUAGCUGGUCUGAGAGGAUGACUGCACGCACUGGAAAGGAGACAGGGCCCAGACUCGUACGGGAGGCAGCGGUGGGGAAUAUUGAACAAUGGGCGCAAGCCUGAUGCAGCCAGGCCGCGUGUAUUAAGAAGGCCUUCGGGUUGUAAAGUACUUUCAGCGAGGAGGCGUUACUCGCAGAGAAAGCACCGGCUAACUCCGUGCCAGCAGCCGCGGUAAUUC
rnacentral:rRNA from 1 species